GCCGGGCAUGGUGGCGCAUGCCUGUAAUCCCAGCUGCUCAGGAGGCUGAGGCAGGAUAAUUGCUUGAACCCGGGAGGUGGAGGUUGCGGUGAGCCAAGAUCUCGCCAUUGCACUUCAGCCUAGGCAACAAGAGUGAAGCUCUGUCUCAAAAAAAACAAUCCCAGGGUUUUGGGAUGCCUAGGCGGGAGGCUCACUUGAGGCCAGGAGUUUGAGACCAGCCUGGGCAAUGCAGCGAGACCCUGUCUCU
rnacentral:sRNA from 1 species